CCUACGGGAGGCAGCAGUGAGGAAUAUUGGUCAAUGGGCGAGAGCCUGAACCAGCCAAGUAGCGUGAAGGAUGACUGCCCUACGGGUUGUAAACUUCUUUUAUACGGGAAUAAAGUGCCUCACGUGUGGGACUUUGCAUGUACCAUAUGAAUAAGGAUCGGCUAACUCCGUGCCAGCAGCCGCGGUAAUACGGAGGAUCCGAGCGUUAUCCGGAUUUAUUGGGUUUAAAGGGAGCGUAGGAGGAUUGUUAAGUCAGCUGUGAAAGUUUCGGGCUCAACCCUGGAAUUGCAGUUGAAACUGGCGUGCUUGAGUACAGGAGAGGUAGGCGGAAUUCGUGGUGUAGCGGUGAAAUGCUUAGAUAUCACGAAGAACUCCGAUUGCGAAGGCAGCUCACUGGACUGCAACUGACGCUGAGGCUCGAAAGUGUGGGUAUCAAACAGGAUUAGAUACCCUAGUAGUC
rnacentral:rRNA from 1 species